CAAUAGCGUAUAUUAAAGUUGUUGCAGUUAAAAAGCUCGUAGUUGGACCUUGGACCUGGACAGGCGGUCCGCCUCAAGGCGUGUACUGUCUUGCUGGGUCUUUCCUCUUGGUGAUCUGUUGUUUCGGCAGCAGGGAACCAGGACUUUUACUUUGAAAAAAUUAGAGUGUUCAAAGCAGGCUCGACGCCGGAAUAUAUUAGCAUGGAAUAAUAAAAUAGGACGUGCGGUUCUAUUUUGUUGGUUUUUGGAAUCGCCGUAAUGAUUAAUAGGGACAGUCGGGGGCAUUAGUACUCACAUGCUAGAGGUGAAAUUCUUGGAUUUUGUGAAGACUAACUUCUGCGAAAGCAUUUGCCAAGGAUGUUUUCAUUAA
rnacentral:rRNA from 1 species